CUUAGUAGGCAGCACACCUGCCACAUAUAAAGAGCAUCCAUUAGGAAAUCACCUGCACAACUUGUCCUUUUCUACCUGUCCGCCAUGAAUCUUCAGUAGGAUUGAUGGUGCGUACAACUAUGUUAGAAAAGCAUAACAUUUAAACUGCAUUUGUCUGAAAACCUUAAAAUACGAAGAAGAAAAAAUACAUUCAAGCUGUACAGUAUUCUUGUCUGAAUUUCAACAAUAAAAUGUAUAAUACUGCAAUGUAAUAAUAAUGAAAUAAAAAUGUAUCUUAUUA